CCUACGGGUGGCUGCAGUGGGGAAUAUUGGACAAUGGGCGCAAGCCUGAUCCAGCAAUGCCGCGUGUGUGAAGAAGGCCUGCGGGUUGUAAAGCACUUUAAGCCGGAAAGAAGGCUGCAAGGCUAAUAUCCUUGUAGAUUGACGUUACCGGCAGAAUAAGCACCGGCUAACUCCGUGCCAGCAGCCGCGGUAAUACGGAGGGUGCGAGCGUUAAUCGGAAUUCGUGGAGGUGGUUCGCGGUGUGGCCGUUGAAAGCCCUGGGCUUAACCUGGGAACUGCAGUGGAAACUGGCGGGCUAGAGUAUGGUAGAGGAGGGUGGAAUUUCCGGUGUAGCAGUGAAAUGCGUAGAGAUCGGAAGGAACACCAGUGGCGAAGGCGGCUCUCUGGACCAAUACUGACGCUGAGGUGCGAAAGCGUGGGGAGCAAACAGGAUUAGAUACCCCAGUAGUC
rnacentral:rRNA from 1 species